UAACAUUUGGAUUCCAGGUGCUUGGAAACCAUCGACACCGGGUCGGAGGUGUGACAGUUUGCCAUUUGGCCGCGUGGGUGGUGGACUUGACAACACACUUUUGCACACUUUUCUUCGAGUGACAAGUAUCCAUCCUUCAUAAUCGUCGCAUAAGGCAGCUUUAAAAGUGAGGUUCACUUGCUGGAUUGGCUCCAUUUCCUCCAAUUUUUUUUAUCAUUGCUGGGGUCUCUUUUGAGAAAUGGUAUGGCGCUUUCAUUGGCGCAGAAGGUACUUGAACUAGCUCAAAAGACCUAAAUAAAAUGGUAGUGCAAUUGACCUCAACAACCUCACCAACAUCAAGCUCGAUUCUCCCUUGUCUGGCAAGUUUCAUGAUCAAAUUCUUUCAAAACACUUCUUGACGGGGUGGCUAAUGAUGCGAUGAAACUUGCAAUACUUCGGGUCGUUGACUCGAUGCAUUUCUUCUGAAGGAUUGCACUCUGGAAGUUCUAUCACCUUGUUUUCAAGCAAAUCCUCCAACAUGCCUGCUACGUCAGAAUCUGAGAACGGCCAAUUCUUUAAAGGUUUGAGGCUCGAUACCUUGGAGAAUGUACAACAAAUCAAAGUACAUG